AAACGACUCUUGGCAACGGAUAUCUAGGCUCUUGCAUCGAUGAAGAACGUAGCGAAAUGCGAUACUUGGUGUGAAUUGCAGAAUCCCGUGAAUCAUCGAGUCUUUGAACGCAAGUUGCGCCCGAAGCCUUUUGGUCGAGGGCACGUCUGCCUGGGUGUUAUUA
rnacentral:rRNA from 1 species